CCGGGGCCCAGGGUUAGGGUGAUUUCCAGGAAGUGACCUCACAACGACUCAGGCUACCACUUACUGUUGAUUGUGAUGAAAUGCCAGCUGAGGCACACGCCUUGGGAGCUAAGUGGUGCUGCCCUUGACUACUAUGAAGACUGGUGUGGGAAGGGUCGCUUUGGAUGCACUUGAGCAGGGGUCCCCAACCCCUGAGCCAUGGAGCCGUAAGGAGCCACACAGCAGGUGGGACCAUCCAGUUUCAGGAAAACAAGCUUAACACGCCCACUGAUUCUACAUUAUGCUCCUACCUCCCGGCAGCCUCGCCAGGCCCAGAACUCUCUCCAGUCAGCCUCUACAGACCAAGCUCAUGACUCACAAUGGCCUAUUGAGGCCCAUACCCUACCUCACGGCAGUCUCCGCAGAUGAGCCUACUGCCUCACAACAGCCUCCACAGGCACAGCUCCAUCGUUACAAUGGCCUCUUUAGACCCAGCUCCUGCCGCCCAGCCUUCUCUCCAGGCCCUGAACUUUCUCCGUGGGACCAUCCAGUUUCAGGAAAACAAGCUGAACACGCCCACUGAUUCUACAUUAUGCUCCUACCUCCCGGCAGCCUCGCCAGGCCCAGAACUCUCUCCAGUCAGCCUCUACAGACCAAGCUCAUGACUCACAAUGGCCUAUUGAGGCCCAUACCCUACCUCACGGCAGUCUCCGCAGAUGAGCCUACUGCCUCACAGCAGCCUCCACAGGCACAGCUCCAUCGUUACAAUGGCCUCUUUAGACCCAGCUCCUGCCGCCCAGCCUUCUCUCCAGGCCCUGAACUUUCUCCGUGGGACCAUCCAGUUUCAGGAAAACAAGCUGAACACGCCCACUGAUUCUACAUUAUGCUCCUACCUCCCGGCAGCCUCGCCAGGCCCAGAACUCUCUCCAGUCAGCCUCUACAGACCAAGCUCAUGACUCACAAUGGCCUAUUGAGGCCCAUACCCUACCUCACGGCAGUCUCCGCAGAUGAGCCUACUGCCUCACAGCAGCCUCCACAGGCACAGCUCCAUCGUUACAAUGGCCUCUUUAGACCCAGCUCCUGCCGCCCAGCCUUCUCUCCAGGCCCUGAACUUUCUCCGUGGGACCAUCCAGUUUCAGGAAAACAAGCUGAACACGCCCACUGAUUCUACAUUAUGCUCCUACCUCCCGGCAGCCUCGCCAGGCCCAGAACUCUCUCCAGUCAGCCUCUACAGACCAAGCUCAUGACUCACAAUGGCCUAUUGAGGCCCAUACCCUACCUCACGGCAGUCUCCGCAGAUGAGCCUACUGCCUCACAACAGCCUCCACAGGCACAGCUCCAUCGUUACAAUGGCCUCUUUAGACCCAGCUCCUGCCGCCCAGCCUUCUCUCCAGGCCCUGAACUUUCUCCGUGGGACCAUCCAGUUUCAGGAAAACAAGCUGAACACGCCCACUGAUUCUACAUUAUGCUCCUACCUCCCGGCAGCCUCGCCAGGCCCAGAACUCUCUCCAGUCAGCCUCUACAGACCAAGCUCAUGACUCACAAUGGCCUAUUGAGGCCCAUACCCUACCUCACGGCAGUCUCCGCAGAUGAGCCUACUGCCUCACAGCAGCCUCCACAGGCACAGCUCCAUCGUUACAAUGGCCUCUUUAGACCCAGCUCCUGCCGCCCAGCCUUCUCUCCAGGCCCUGAACUUUCUCCGUGGGACCAUCCAGUUUCAGGAAAACAAGCUGAACACGCCCACUGAUUCUACAUUAUGCUCCUACCUCCCGGCAGCCUCGCCAGGCCCAGAACUCUCUCCAGUCAGCCUCUACAGACCAAGCUCAUGACUCACAAUGGCCUAUUGAGGCCCAUACCCUACCUCACGGCAGUCUCCGCAGAUGAGCCUACUGCCUCACAACAGCCUCCACAGGCACAGCUCCAUCGUUACAAUGGCCUCUUUAGACCCAGCUCCUGCCGCCCAGCCUUCUCUCCAGGCCCUGAACUUUCUCCGUGGGACCAUCCAGUUUCAGGAAAACAAGCUGAACACGCCCACUGAUUCUACAUUAUGCUCCUACCUCCCGGCAGCCUCGCCAGGCCCAGAACUCUCUCCAGUCAGCCUCUACAGACCAAGCUCAUGACUCACAAUGGCCUAUUGAGGCCCAUACCCUACCUCACGGCAGUCUCCGCAGAUGAGCCUACUGCCUCACAGCAGCCUCCACAGGCACAGCUCCAUCGUUACAAUGGCCUCUUUAGACCCAGCUCCUGCCGCCCAGCCUUCUCUCCAGGCCCUGAACUUUCUCCGUGGGACCAUCCAGUUUCAGGAAAACAAGCUUAACACGCCCACUGAUUCUACAUUAUGCUCCUACCUCCCGGCAGCCUCGCCAGGCCCAGAACUCUCUCCAGUCAGCCUCCACAGACCAAGCUCAUGACUCACAAUGGCCUAUUGAGGCCCAUACCCUACCUCACGGCAGUCUCCGCAGAUGAGCCUACUGCCUCACAGCAGCCUCCACAGGCACAGCUCCAUCGUUACAAUGGCCUCUUUAGACCCAGCUCCUGCCGCCCAGCCUUCUCUCCAGGCCCUGAACUUUCUCCGUGGGACCAUCCAGUUUCAGGAAAACAAGCUGAACACGCCCACUGAUUCUACAUUAUGCUCCUACCUCCCGGCAGCCUCGCCAGGCCCAGAACUCUCUCCAGUCAGCCUCUACAGACCAAGCUCAUGACUCACAAUGGCCUAUUGAGGCCCAUACCCUACCUCACGGCAGUCUCCACAGAUGAGCCUACUGCCUCACAACAGCCUCCACAGGCACAGCUCCAUCGUUACAAUGGCCUCUUUAGACCCAGCUCCUGCCGCCCAGCCUUCUCUCCAGGCCCUGAACUUUCUCCGUGGGACCAUCCAGUUUCAGGAAAACAAGCUUAACACGCCCACUGAUUCUACAUUAUGCUCCUACAUCCCGGCAGCCUCGCCAGGCCCAGAACUCUCUCCAGUCAGCCUCUACAGACCAAGCUCAUGACUCACAAUGGCCUAUUUAGGCCCAUACCCUACCUCACGGCAGUCUCCACAGAUGAGCCUACUGCCUCACAACAGCCUCCACAGGCACAGCUCCAUCGUUACAAUGGUCUCUUUAGACCCAGCUCCUGCCUCCCAGCCUUCUCUCCAGGCCCUGAACUUUCUCCGUGGGACCAUCCAGUUUCAGGAAAACAAGCUGAACACGCCCACUGAUUCUACAUUAUGCUCCUACCUCCCGGCAGCCUCGCCAGGCCCAGAACUCUCUCCAGUCAGCCUCUACAGACCAAGCUCAUGACUCACAAUGGCCUAUUGAGGCCCAUACCCUACCUCACGGCAGUCUCCGCAGAUGAGCCUACUGCCUCACAACAGCCUCCACAGGCACAGCUCCAUCGUUACAAUGGCCUCUUUAGACCCAGCUCCUGCCGCCCAGCCUUCUCUCCAGGCCCUGAGCUUUCUCAAGUCGACCUCACCAGGCCCAGCUCAUGCUUCUUUGCAGCCUCUCCAGGCCCAGCUCCUGCAUCUUGGUGGCCCCUCCAGGCCCAGCCUCUGCCUCCCGUCGGCCUCUACAGUCGUAACAUCUACCUCACAGCAGAUUCUUCAGGCCCAGCAUCUGCCUCACUGUGGAUCCCCCAAGCCAAGCUCCCAACCUUUCAGCAGCUUCUACACACCCAGCUCCCGCCUGCCAGUGGCCUCUUCAGGCCCAUGGGGCUCAUUCCUCACAACAGCCUUUCCAGACCCAGUUUUUCCCUUCCGGCGGCCUCUCUGGGCUGAGAACCUCCUCAGGUCGGCCUCUCCAGACCCACUUGCACCCUCCGGGCAUCCUCUGCGGGCCAAGCUCCUCUUCCUGUCUGCGUCUCCAGGCCCGACUCCUGCCUCUCAACAAGCUCUUUGGACUCAGUGCCUACCCAUCUCCUGGCAUCCUUGGUCAGCCCACAGCUUCCUCAAGCCAAGCUCCCCAGGCCCAGGUCAGGACUCACGGUGGCCUCUCCAGGAUGAGCUCCUGCACUCCGAUGGCACCUGCAGGCCCCAAAUGGUCUCCGGUCGGUGGGCUUCUCCACGCCAAACUUGGGCCUCCCAGCGACCUCUGCAGGCCCAAGUUGUCCUGAAGUCGGCAUCUCCCGGCCGUGCCUCCCAGCAAGUAAGCAAGCUCUUUUGGCUCAACUCCUGCCCAGCUCCCAACCGCCUUUGUAGGUCCCGAACUUUCUCCAGCCAAGUUCUUCGGGCCUAAUUCCUGCUGCCCGGUGGCCUGUACGGGCCCAGCAAUGGUUGGAGAGUGGCCUCUGCAGGUCCCGCUCUUGCCUCCCAGGGGCCUCUCCAGGCCCAG